GACGAACGCUGGCGGCGUGCUUGACACAUGCAAGUCGAACGGAAAGGCCCUGCUUUUGUGGGGUGCUCGAGUGGCGAACGGGUGAGUAACACGUGAGUAACCUGCCCUUGACUUUGGGAUAACUUCAGGAAACUGGGGCUAAUACCGGAUAGGAGCUCCUGCUGCAUGGUGGGGGUUGGAAAGUUUCGGCGGUUGGGGAUGGACUCGCGGCUUAUCAGCUUGUUGGUGGGGUAGUGGCUUACCAAGGCUUUGACGGGUAGCCGGCCUGAGAGGGUGACCGGCCACAUUGGGACUGAGAUACGGCCCAGACUCCUACGGGAGGCAGCAGUGGGGAAUAUUGCACAAUGGGCGGAAGCCUGAUGCAGCAACGCCGCGUGCGGGAUGACGGCCUUCGGGUUGUAAACCGCUUUCGCCUGUGACGAAGCGUGAGUGACGGUAAUGGGUAAAGAAGCACCGGCUAACUACGUGCCAGCAGCCGCGGUGAUACGUAGGGUGCGAGCGUUGUCCGGAUUUAUUGGGCGUAAAGGGCUCGUAGGUGGUUGAUCGCGUCGGAAGUGUAAUCUUGGGGCUUAACCCUGAGCGUGCUUUCGAUACGGGUUGACUUGAGGAAGGUAGGGGAGAAUGGAAUUCCUGGUGGAGCGGUGGAAUGCGCAGAUAUCAGGAGGAACACCAGUGGCGAAGACGGUUCUCUGGGCCUUUCCUGACGCUGAGGAGCGAAAGCGUGGGGAGCGAACAGGCUUAGAUACCCUGGUAGUCCACGCUGUAAACGGUGGGUACUAGGUGUGGGGUCCAUUCCACGGGUUCCGUGCCGUAGCUAACGCUUUAAGUACCCCGCCUGGGGAGUACGGCCGCAAGGCUAAAACUCAAAGGAAUUGACGGGGCCCCGCACAAGCGGCGGAGCAUGCGGAUUAAUUCGAUGCAACGCGUAGAACCUUACCUGGGUUUGACAUGGAUCGGGAGUGCUCAGAGAUGGGUGUGCCUCUUUUGGGGUCGGUUCACAGGUGGUGCAUGGCUGUCGUCAGCUCGUGUCGUGAGAUGUUGGGUUAAGUCCCGCAACGAGCGCAACCCUUGUUCACUGUUGCCAGCACGUUAUGGUGGGGACUCAGUGGAGACCGCCGGGGUCAACUCGGAGGAAGGUGGGGAUGACGUCAAGUCAUCAUGCCCCUUAUGUCCAGGGCUUCACGCAUGCUACAAUGGCUGGUACAGAGAGUGGCGAGCCUGUGAGGGUGAGCGGAUCUCGGAAAGCCGGUCUCAGUUCGGAUUGGGGUCUGCAACUCGACCUCAUGAAGUCGGAGUCGCUAGUAAUCGCAGAUCAGCAACGCUGCGGUGAAUACGUUCCCGGGGCU
rnacentral:rRNA from 1 species